GACGAACGCUGGCGGCGUGCUUAACACAUGCAAGUCGAGCGGUAAGGCCCUUUCGGGGGUACGACGAGCGGCGAACGGGUGAGUAACACGUGGGUGACCUGCCCUUAGCUCUGGGAUAAGCCUGGGAAACUGGGUCUAAUACCGGAUAUGACUCCAUAACGCAUGUUGUGGGGUGGAAAGCCUUGUGCGGCUAGGGAUGGGCCCGCGGCCUAUCAGCUUGUUGGUGGGGUGAUGGCCUACCAAGGCGACGACGGGUAGCCGGCCUGAGAGGGCGACCGGCCACACUGGGACUGAGACACGGCCCAGACUCCUACGGGAGGCAGCAGUGGGGAAGUCUUGCGCAAUGGGCGAAAGCCUGACGCAGCGACGCCGCGUGGGGAUGACGGCCUCGGUUGUAAC
rnacentral:rRNA from 1 species